rnacentral:lncRNA from 1 species
GUAGCAGCAAAGAAACAGGACAAAUGGACCCUUGCAGCAUCGAUUUGUAACUGACUUGAAUAAUACAUCAAAUGUCUGUCACUUCAUCACAGGAGCCUGGAGAUUCAAACACCUGAGACCUUGGAUUCCUAGGUUUUGGGCCUGGUACAACUAGAAUCAAGAAAAGCUACAAAAGGAAGAGGCUGGAUCUCUGAUAUCCAGAAAGGAGAGCUUCAAGGAUACAUAGGGAAGAAUUGGACCUGAAUGAAGGAUACCUAAGACACAGGGCCCAAGAAGAAGGACGAGAGAAUCACUGCAUAAGAGAAUCAAGGUGGGGAAGAGAUCUAAGGACAUUCUACCAGGGAAUUUCAAUACCUGAAGACAGGUGUCUAUGAUAAGGAGAAAUUGGAAAAUGUGUGUAAUGAAAUUUGAG